AAAUUAAUUUUAAAAAGAAAAAAAAAAAAAAAAGAAACACUGUGCCUGAGCGGCGAAGACCACACACCAGAUGAGAAAAAGAAGUGGAGAAGGUUCUUCUAAUAAUUGGCUACCUUUGCCAAAUUUGUUUCAAACUUGAGAUUUUGCUUCCGUCUCCUUCAAUUCCUAACUGCCAUAUGGAUGCCUGUAAUAACUAAAAAAACAAAAACGAAAACAAAAGCAGCCAAGACCUGCAGCUCUUUUUCAGAGGACUAUGCUCAGGCUAUUGGAGCCAUUUUGCCUGCCUUCACAGAGACUGGAAGUACCUGGGAAAUUAGCCCGGCAGCCCGGUAAAUAGGUUGGUACAGAGGAUCCACCAGAGUAUUUUGAAUCCCUGGAAGACUGCACUGGGUAUAACUAACCUGGAAUUUCUGAAUGACUGUUGGAAGAGAAACACCUCCCCCACCAAACACAUCAGUCUACAGUAGACCAUGAGACCAUGAGGAAAUCACACUAAAGAAGAAUGAGAAAGAGAAAUACAAGCUAGGAUGCAUGUGAAAUCCUAAGCCACAAAUAGAUAGAAGGGCUGCCAAAAGCAGUGAAGAUCAAACAGGAUGUGGGAGGAAGCAGAAGGGGAUGCCUGUGAAUGCAAAUCCCUGAGAGAGUGGGCGCUGCCCCAAGAUGAGGAGCAUGCCCAAGAUAAAGAACUAAAAUCCUCAUGCGUCCUAACUGGGACAAGCCGUGUGGAAUAGUGACAGGAGUUUGAUUCUGAGAAGCAGGGCUAACAGGACUGAACAAGGACUCAUAUGAUAAGCCAUAUUUUAAAAAACAGCCUGUUGUUGAGGCAGAGGAUUAGAAAAAGAUUCUGAAUGCUAUGAGUCUUACAAAACUGCCUAUUUCUGUUGGUCAGGGAGAGGUUAACAGUUAAAUGGACUCUCACACUUAACUGAGGGCUCUAGGGAGAAUGCUGCUAGCCUUGGACACAGCUUUAGCAUCCCUAACAUAUGAAUCAUUUGGAAAUAGCUGGUCAAGGAGAAGCCCACUUAACCAACAUGAGAAAUCAAAAAUAAACCAUCCAGGAUCUAUAUAAAAGUAUUACAAGAAAAGAGAAGAAAAAGAAUAAGAAGAAAUGCAGAUGAACACUGAUCAAAGCAGUAUAUUCAUGAAACAGAUGAAAAAUUUGACCAGGUGUUUGCCACGGAUUUAAACAGUUAAUGGAGCAAUUUAUCUAUAAAACAAGAACCCAAAUAUACAUACAAUAUAUUUAAGAACCUUAAAAAGGAAGGGAAAGAAAAUCAAUUAUGCCAAAAGCUGGUUCUUUGAAAAUAUCAAUAAAAUUGAUAAUCCCCUAGCCAGGCUAAGAAAAAGGGAGAGGACACAAAACUAAUUCAGAAAUAAAAGAGGGGACAUCACGACAGAUCCCAUGGACAUUAAGGGAUAAUAAAGGAAGAAUUUGAAUAACUCUAUGCCCACAAAUUUGAUAACCCAAAUGAAAUGGACCAAUUUC